UACAGAGGGUGCGAGCGUUAUCCGGAUUUACUGGGCGUAAAGCGCGUUCAGGCGGUUUGGCAAGUCGGGCAUGAAAUCUCUCGGCUCAACCGGGAGAGGUUGUCCGAUACUUCCAGACUUGAGGGCAGUAGAGGGUGGUGGAAUUCCGGGUGUAGUGGUGAAAUGCGUAGAUAUCCGGAGGAACACCAGUGGCGAAAGCGGCCACCUGGACUGCACCUGACGCUGACACGCGAAAGCUAGGGGAGCGAACGGG
rnacentral:rRNA from 1 species